CCCCCGCCGCGGUGGCCCCCGCCGCCGCCGCUGCCGGCGGCGCCGGUUCACCCGCCCCGUCCGGUUCGUCCGGUGCGGCGGG
rnacentral:tRNA from 2 species